GACGAACGCUGGCGGCGUGCUUAACACAUGCAAGUCGAACGGAAAGGCCCUGCUUUUGUGGGGUGCUCGAGUGGCGAACGGGUGAGUAACACGUGAGUAACCUGCCCUUGACUUUGGGAUAACUUCAAGAAACUGGGGCUAAUACCGGAUAGGAGCUCCUGCUGCAUGGUGGGGGUUGGAAAGUUUCGGCGGUUGGGGAUGGACUCGCGGCUUAUCAGCUUGUUGGUGGGGUAGUGGCUUACCAAGGCUUUGACGGGUAGCCGGCCUGAGAGGGUGACCGGCCACAUUGGGACUGAGAUACGGCCCAGACUCCUACGGGAGGCAGCAGUGGGGAAUAUUGCACAAUGGGCGGAAGCCUGAUGCAGCAACGCCGCGUGCGGGAUGACGGCCUUCGGGUUGUAAACCGCUUUCGCCUGUGACGAAGCGUGAGUGACGGUAAUGGGUAAAGGAGCACCGGCUAACUACGUG
rnacentral:rRNA from 1 species